rnacentral:lncRNA from 1 species
GCGGCUGGAUUCCAAUAAAACUUUAUGUACAAGACGGGCAGCAGCCGACCCCAGGUCACGGGAUUGAACGGACCGACGUUUUGAAUCUGUGUGCAGGCGCUUGACAAGGUAAGGAACCUGCCUUGAGAAGUCACCACACUAGCCCAGGACUCCGUGUCCCCCUGUGGGGAUGCUGGGGGAGGCAACGGAGCAUGGAGGGGCUCCCCCUUCCAUCUACUCAGCAUCCUCAUCAAUUCUUCUAAAGACAGAGAGUCGUACUCCUGAAGAUGAGCACACAGCUUAAAAGGCCCUGAAUUUGAUGCUCUUUAAGAAGUCCCCAAAGGGCUUUCUGUGACUUUCUGCUCAAAGGGACAGGGCUGCUGGGGGCCCAAGCUCUGCUAUAGGGCCGCAAACUUUGCCCCAAGUUGUUCCCCGUCUUUUGGGUAAGAACCCCCAGAAUCCUAAUCCGCCUUGAGGGGGAGGUUCCCUCCCUCUCAUUCCUUGGUUCUGGGAAUGCAGGGAACUGCCAGACCCACGUGGUUCCUUCUGGAGCGGUGUGUUCACGUCAGAGGAACACCUGCUUCGGGGGCCUGUUGGAGCCUGACAAGCAGACAGAGGAUACGGGGCAGCUGCCUGUGGGUGCCUAGGCUGUUCCAGCAACAAGCCUCCCCUUGCCCGUGAGUAGGGCCCCAAACUCCCUCAGGGGUGAGGGGGAACCCACUGUUCUGAUGGCAGAGCCCCCGCAGACAGUCAUGGAAGGUUCCCACAGCGGGAGGUCUUGUGUUUACAAACAUCGUUUCUGAGGAUCUUGGGGAGCCAUUACCAGGCCGGCGCAUUCCCACGGGAAGAAGGGCUCAUUGUCCCGAGUCCCAACCGGUCCCAGCAGCCAGCAGUCGAAGCGCCAGCUCAACGAGGAGCAAGCUCGGCUGGGGUCCUGGGGUCCACUUGGCGGGGUGCCCAGGAGACCUCAGGUGGCUGGCCAGUCCACACGAGGUGGAAGAAAUUGCCUCCCUACUAAGCACCACCCUGAGCCAGACCACAGGCUGGGGGCUUUCCAUGCUCACUGCGUUUCUAACCCCAUCAGGAGAAAUCAGCCCCAUUUUACAUGGGGGGACGCUGAUGUCCAGUGAGGCCAAGAAACGGGCCGUCCCGCAGCUGGGGAGUGGAGAUCUUUACUCUCCUCCCUGCGCUCCGUCCCUCCCCACGUGGGACACCUGUGGGCGCCUGUGCUCACCUGUGCCAUCCUGAUAUCGGGAAGCAGUGAUGGAGCUAACGGAGUAGGCCGUUGACAGGAAGCCCACUCCUGCCUCCCCCAAGGACCUGGAGGGCCAUCGCUCACGGCGGGGGCUGUUCCUGGGAGUCAGAGGGGACCAGUUCUCCUAGCUGCCCCCUCCACCUGUCCCCUGCAGGCUGGAGGGAGGUGGGGCCCUGGCAUGGGUUGGGGCCUCAUGGACUCCCUCCAACACCCCAACGGGAAGGAUCUGAUAAGGUUAUAAUAGCGCCUUCUCCAUCCUCUCCCUGGGGAACUCCAAGGAUGACCUCACCCCUGCCACCACCUGUGAGCCAAGAAAACAGGGCGCAGCCUCCCUUUCUAGAAGGGAAAGGAGGGCACAGAGGGGAUCCCUCGGGGGGAAGAGGAGGACCCAGCCUCCCAGGCUUUCCCAGACCCUCCCAGGCACGGCCAAUCCCAUCCCAGUUUUAACUGUUGAUUGCUAAGCAUUCAUCAGACACUUUCUAUAUGAAUUAUGCUUUGCUCGGGGAAAGGUACCAGAUAAAUCAGAUGAGGGGUGAGGGUGGGUGUGAGGGAAGUAGCUCCCAGAGAGCCUUGGUUUCCAUGGUGGGGGGUUUGACUUUUUUCAUAAAAAGCAAUGUUUGUGAAAAUGUUCGGCCAGAGCUGGGUCUGGGCAGACAGUAUGUUACAGCCUGGAGGAGUGGGACAAGCUGGCCAGCACGGAGGAGGGCACUGCCAUCAGAAGAGGCCACGGGGUGAGGAAUGGAGAUGGCAUUGAUGUAAAGUGGGGGUUCCUUCCCUUUCCCGUGUCACGGAUGCCUCUCAGGUCAAUGUGUUAAGAUAACGCCCGUAGGUUCCCAAGGAACCCAAUGAUGCUAAAACACAGUUAUCAGAAUGAGAAAAACAGCGUCAGAUAGAACAGCAUCUGCCUCUUUGUGAGCGCAUUGGGAGCCGCAGGACCUCAUAUCCACCAUCAACUCAAGGUCGUGAGGAGCGGAAAUGGGGUUUCCAGGGGGCAGAGGCAACUGUGACGUGAUAUGAAAUAUCUGUGGCUGCUCCUGGGGACACGGUCCCAGGUCUGCUAACUCGAUCAAGGAUUGUCAUUUACAUCCAAAAUAGAGGAAUUUCCAAAUUUCACUUAGAGGUUAGUAAAAAUAAGAUGUAAUUUUUUUCUCCUGGCUUUUUUUUCAAGUUAAGAGCAUCUGUAGAGAAAUGGGGCCAACGGCCUUAGCACAGGUCAGGGGCGUGAGAAACACUGAGCUUAUCCCGGAUCAUGAAGCCAGACUGUCGGGGGACAGGGUGGGGCGCCCCUAACAGAAAUCAGAAAGAGCUGGAAUUCUAGGUGUUUGAGUGCAAGAUAGAGCGGUGGGGAGGAGGGGCGGGGGGCAGGGGGCAGACUCCCAGGCCAUCUAGAACCUUCCUCAUUGUCUCACAGGGGAACCCAAGGCCCAGGAUGACAAAGUGACCUUUGGGGGCAGAAUUAAGACUUGAACCCAGAACCCCUGAUUCCCAGUCCCAUUCUUGUCCCAGGCCAGCCCACUGGGGUCAGGGCUCUGCGCGAUGUUUCCAGGACCACCGGAGGGAGUGGAGCAGCCAGGCAGGUGUUUCCAACAGGAACAAACAUUGUCCCGCAAAGUCUUCAUCACUCGUAGCCCCCAGGAGGGGCAAGAUCACUGAGCCCACAGCUCAGGCUUCGGAUGCUGAGGGUACCCAAAGCCAGCUCCAUCUUGGGGUGUCAUCAUGGGUCUUCCAAAGAAUAUGUUUCCAUGGGGGAGGGGCAGCCCAAAGUGUCUUCAGAGGCAUCAGGCUCUUUUUCAAAGGAGCAUGUCCCGGGCAAGGUGGAGCCACGUCUGUCCCUGAAGCUCCAGGGGUCCACUGGAUGGCCCACCCAGUCCAGGCUCGAAGACCCCCAGAGUCUGCCCCGUUUCACUGCAUCCUCAAACUCCACUGGCCCCGAUCAGUGCUGCCUACAGCACUCCACACCCCCGAGGUCGCCCCUCCAAGCCCCCAGCCACACAGGGAAAGCAUGAGGGUCUUCAGGACGAGGUGGGAAGGGAGGGGGACGCUGGGGAAGGAGCUGCUGGGGGGCUGUGAGUUCCUCUCUCCUCCUCUGCUGUCCCCCAGAAUCCAGCCCCUCCCUCACCCCCAGUAGCUCGCCGGAGCCAGGCGGCCCAGCGGUCUGCUUUAUGAGGCCUGCCAGCCUGUCUUGUCUUGUUGAGGCUGGAAACCGAGGAUAAUAACACUUACCUCACAAGGAAGGUGUGGGGAUUAAUGACUUAAUGCCGCCAGCACCCGGUGGGGCUCUGCUGCCCUGACACGGGAGCCCAGCAUGCCGGGACAGCAGCCCCUCCGACUGGCUCACGGGGGCAGCCAGGAGCCAGUGGCCUGGAGCUGACCGGCCUCGGCCCCAGGCCUCCCAUGUGACCACCGAGGUUUCCAGCCCAGUGAGUUCGGUCUGCGUGGGCUCUGACUUCGGGGUCUUGGAGAGGCUUCUGUUCUCUGGAGCCCCACCCAGAAUGUUCUCGAUGUUCAGUAGCAAAUGCUGAGAAGGGCUGGCUCGGGCCUGGGACCCGUGCAGCUCAGCUGGGCCACGGCCCACCCAGCAGAGAGGUGAGGGUCCUGACAUGGCGAGGUUCUGGGGAGCAAGCUGGGAGCCCACCUUUCCAGCAGCCUCCUUGCCGCACGCAGGAACCGUGCGACGUCCUGCUGCACCUCAGCCACCUGUCUGGGGGGGGCAGGAAGCAGGAUGAAGCCAGCCCUGCCAUGAUGAGACAACCUCCUCGGUGGCUUUGGACCAUCCUUAAUGAAAGAGCUGCUCCCAACCUGGGCUCCAUAAAACCUCACGGGGGUGGAGGUCUCAGGGCCCCGAAGACUCUGGUGACCAACUGAGGCCUGGCUCUGUCAUUUUUCAGUCACUCUCAAGCACUUCUCAAAUCAGAGGAAGACAGAGGGCCACUGGGCACAACCUCCGGACAUCCAGGCAGGGCUGUCUCACCGGGGGCCCGAGUUCCCUCCAGGACACAGCUUAUCCUUGUGUCAGGUGCUCAGACUUGGUAACAAAAUAUUGCAGACGGGGCGGCUUUGACAACAGAAAUUUAUUCUCUCACAGUCCAGAGGCUGGAAGUCUAAGAUCCAGGUGUGAGUGAGGCGGGCUGGUUCCCCCUGAGGUCUCUCUCCUUGGCUGGCGGGCGGCCGCCUCCUUCCUGUGUCCUCGCAUGGUCCUCCCUCUGCGUGUGUGUCUGAGUCCUCAUCUCCUCUUCUUCUAAGGGCGUCGGUCAGAUU